UUACACAUGCAAGUCGAACGGCAGCACGGGUGCUUGCACCUGGUGGCGAGUGGCGAACGGGUGAGUAAUACAUCGGAACAUGUCCUGUAGUGGGGGAUAGCCCGGCGAAAGCCGGAUUAAUACCGCAUACGAUCCACGGAUGAAAGCGGGGGACCUUCGGGCCUCGCGCUAUAGGGUUGGCCGAUGGCUGAUUAGCUAGUUGGUGGGGUAAAGGCCUACCAAGGCGACGAUCAGUAGCUGGUCUGAGAGGACGACCAGCCACACUGGGACUGAGACACGGCCCAGACUCCUACGGGAGGCAGCAGUGGGGAAUUUUGGACAAUGGGCGAAAGCCUGAUCCAGCAAUGCCGCGUGUGUGAAGAAGGCCUUCGGGUUGUAAAGCACUUUUGUCCGGAAAGAAAUCCCUGGCUCUAAUACAGUCGGGGGAUGACGGUACCGGAAGAAUAAGCACCGGCUAACUACGUGCCAGCAGCCGCGGUAAUACGUAGGGUGCGAGCGUUAAUCGGAAUUACUGGGCGUAAAGCGUGCGCAGGCGGUCUGUUAAGACAGAUGUGAAAUCCCCGGGCUCAACCUGGGAACUGCAUUUGUGACUGGCAGGCUAGAGUAUGGCAGAGGGGGGUAGAAUUCCACGUGUAGCAGUGAAAUGCGUAGAGAUGUGGAGGAAUACCGAUGGCGAAGGCAGCCCCCUGGGCCAAUACUGACGCUCAUGCACGAAAGCGUGGGGGAGCAAACAGGAUUAGAUACCCUGGUAGUCCACGCCCUAAACGAUGUCAACUAGUUGUUGGGGAUUCAUUUCCUUAGUAACGUAGCUAACGCGUGAAGUUGACCGCCUGGGGAGUACGGUCGCAAGAUUAAAACUCAAAGGAAGUUGACGGGGACCCGCAC
rnacentral:rRNA from 1 species